GGGGACAUGCUGGAAUUGGCAGACAGGCAUGACUUAGGAUCAUGUGCCGCAAGGCGUGAGGGUUCAAGUCCCUCUGUCCCCA
rnacentral:tRNA from 1 species